rnacentral:rRNA from 1 species
GACGAACGCUGGCGGCGUGCUUAACACAUGCCAGUCGAACGGAAAGGCCUGCUUUCCCUUGUGGAUUGCGGGUACUCGAGCGGCGAACGGGUGAGUAACACGUGGGUGAUCUGCCCCCAACUUGGGUAUAAGCCUGGGAAACUGGGUCUAAUUCCCGAUAGGACUGCAGGGUGGUGCCUGUGGUGGAAAACGAUUUUCUAGUGGUUGGGGAUGAGCUCGCGGCCUAUCAGCUUGUUGGUGGGGUAAUGGCCUACCAAGGCGGCGACGGGUAGCCAGCCUGGGAGGGUGGACGGCCACAUUGGGACUGAGAUACGGCCCAGACUCCUACGGGAGGCAGCAGUGGGGAAUAUUGCACAAUGGGCGGAAGCCUGAUGCAGCGACGCCGCGUGGGGGAUGACGGCCUUCGGGUUGUAAACUCCUUUCGACCGCGAGGAAGCCACCUGGUUGGAAGGGUGGUGACGGUAGUGGUAGAAGAAGCACCGGCUAACUACGUG